GAUGAACGCUGGCGGCGUGCUUAACACAUGCAAGUCGAACGAAGCACCUUGAUUUGAUUCUUCGGAUGAAGAUCUUGGUGACUGAGUGGCGGACGGGUGAGUAACGCGUGGGUAACCUGCCUCAUACAGGGGGAUAACAGUUAGAAAUGACUGCUAAUACCGCAUAAGACCACAGCACCGCAUGGUGCAGGGGUAAAAACUCCGGUGGUAUGAGAUGGACCCGCGUCUGAUUAGCUAGUUGGUGAGGUAACGGCUCACCAAGGCGACGAUCAGUAGCCGACCUGAGAGGGUGAUCGGCCACAUUGGGACUGAGACACGGCCCAA
rnacentral:rRNA from 1 species